rnacentral:rRNA from 1 species
UACGGAAGGCAGCAGUGGGGAAUAUUGCACAAUGGGCGCAGGCCUGAUGCAGCCAUGCCGCGUGUAUGAAGAAGGCCUUCGGGUUGUAAAGUACUUUCAGUCGUGAGGAAGGUGUUAAGGUUAAUAACCUUAGCAAUUGACGUUAGCGACAGAAGAAGCACCGGCUAACUCCGUGCCAGCAGCCGCGGUAAUACGGAGGGUGCGAGCGUUAAUCGGAAUUACUGGGCGUAAAGGGCACGCAGGCGGUUAAUUAAGUUGGAUGUGAAAUCCCCGGGCUUAACCUGGGAAUGGCAUUCAAGACUGGUUAGCUAGAGUCUUGUAGAGGGGGUAGAAUUCCAUGUGUAGCGGUGAAAUGCGUAGAGAUGUGGAGGAAUACCGGUGGCGAAGGCGGCCCCUGGGCAAAGACUGACGCUCAUGUGCGAAAGCGUGGGGAGCGAAACAGGGAUUAGAUACC